rnacentral:lncRNA from 1 species
CUUGUGUUGUUAGUUUCCAAGCUCUAAGACUGCAGGUCCCUUCCAUGGCUGACUGUGAAAUCAGCAAAGAAAGCCGCUGAAACUGAGCCACAGUUUCCAAGGUCUCUUCCAACACUGGGACUCUGGGAAAGGAGGAACCAUCGAGAGCUACAUCUGCACUUGUUCUUAAAGCGGUCAACACAGAGGCACAGGUCCUUCCAGGAAGGGCAGCAUCCAUUUUCUCCCCAUCUUCCACACCAAAGGGACUCUGAGUGCCGUGGAUGGAGUCCUUGCUCACUUCCUUUUAAAUACCCAGAUUGUCCAGAGGUUUUCGCAGGUCCAGUCCCUUCUUCCUGUGAGUUUAGACUCUAACAUAAACAUGCAGUCGUUAACACGUGUAUAUAACAUGUGCUGUCACAUAAUAAUACCCUACAGGGGGAGAAGGGGAGUGAGCACGUGUGUCAGGAGAAGGAAGUUCUCAGAUCUACUUUGAGCUGACAUUUGGCCAGGAAUCAGAGGGAUGAGGGCCAUGUAAGUGGGUACAGGGUGGGGAGAUGGGGAGGUAACCAGGAGUCUAAUAUUGUGGAUGAUUGAAAGGUGUACUCCUUGAACAAGGGGCAUAGUUUAUUAGAUCAAAGUGGAGCUGGUACCUAUUGGAUGUUGCUCAACACUGGAGACAUGUGGUUCUCCAGCCAAUCCUGCCUUCCUGUACUAGAAAGGAACUCAGAUAGCUCAAAAUUUCACAAAUAACUAGCUAGUGGCAUUCAGGAAAGCUCUGACAAGGAAAUUUUCAGUAUUAGGGGAAAUCGGAAGAGGACCAACCUGGGGCAUUCUUAGGGGUUGGAAUUAAUCAGACUUGGUGGCUGACUGAACGGUGGGACCGAGAAACCCUGGGGAAGUGAGAAGGGCACCAGAUGUGUCAGGGAGCCAUUUGCAGACAUGGGAAAUGGGAAAUGUUGAGCAUUGUCCUUGAGUGUGACUUGGGAGUAUCAGCUGUCCAGCAGCCUCCCUUGGAUAGAGUGUGAAGAGAAUUAAGGAAAGGUCCCAGGAGAACCCACUCCACUAGUGUGACCUUGAAGGGCAGCCAGCAUGUGUGGGUGUGAGGAACCAGGAGAGGCCAUGAGUAAGCACAGGCCUGAGGUACUGAGAGUGGCUUGCUUAGGGGACCACAAUGGGCUGUGCUUGGUGAGAUAGGGUGGUACCUAGGUGUGAUCAGAAAGGGGGACAGGGAGCCAGGAAGAGGCAGGAGUACCAAGGGAAUUCAAUUUGUUGGAAGCACAAAAGGAGUAAUUAAAGAAGUUGAG